rnacentral:rRNA from 1 species
AUGUGGCGGUUUUUUAAGGUCGCUGCUGACCUCUCUGCCGUCACUAGUGCUAGGGUUGCUAUCGUCGUAGAGAAGGAAAAUGAGAAGAUGCAUUCCUUUGGGACGCCAUCUGCUGACCCCAUUGUUGAUGCUUUCCUAGCAUGUGCACCACUGGCAAUUCCACUUGCCGAUGAGGCAACGACUACUAGGAUUGCACAACUACAAGGUGAGGUGGCUCGGCUAGAUAUGCAUUGCAUGACAGAGUUUAAGGAAAACCAACUCUUCAUCAAGCAUAUGAAACAAAUCCUGGAGCAACACCCAGGUACGGUGGCAAACCUUAUCUUCUCGAAGGAAGAAGAACUCGGUCCCGAAGAUCUAAAAAAUCUAUCCAAUGAAAUCUAUCGUGUCCAUGAGGAAAUUGGACACCGGUUGCCACCAUUGCAUUAUGGCCACAAGGCCAUGACUAGUGGUGCAAGCAUGAUACAAAAUAUGCCACCAUCAAGUGGUCCACCAUCGAAUCACAUGAAGACUGUCCCUUCAUCAGCGCACUCACCGUGGGCUCACCAUCUGCCACAACACCAGGUGCCUUCGUCUCCACCACCACCAGGGCAGAUUGUGGCACCACAGGUUCCUCAGGAACCAUCAAUGUUCCACCCUGCACCAUCUUCUUCAGUGCCACAGAUUGCUUCCCAGCUACAAACCACAUCUAAUCAGGCACUUGAGCUACCUCCCCCACUAGAUAUAAGUGUCAACGACUAUGUAAGUUCUUCCAACCCAGUGAACCCACAACAAAACAAUGCAAACCCAAACUCAACAACUGGGUAUAAUUUGGUGGCCUCUCCACUUUUGGUCAACUCUGGCGGCAAUGAUUUGAUCGUCAAUGACCCAUUUGGGUAUGAAUCAUGGGGUCAUGGCCUAUCGGAUCAACCAUUCUACAAUGGAUUUCUAGAGAUGGGUGCUUACAUGGGCUAUAAUGGUGCCGAUGUAGGACAAUCUUCUGUGGGAAAUGGUGGAUGGAUUGAUGCGCCGCCGGAAUCUUCUUCU